CUCAGACUGAAGUGAGGAGAGAGAACAUGGCUGAGGCAGCAGAAGGGGCUUAUUAUUCACUCAGUGAGAUAACCCCAGGGAGUGGCAGGUUAAAAGACUUCUGGUUCGGUGAGCAGUUAAAUGUAUUCCUUUCCCACCCAAAAAGAAGCAGCAAAGGGGAAACCUGCAGUGCUGUAGCUGAUGGUGAAGGAUGUCUUGAGUAGCAUGAGAAUCUACAGAGUUGGCAAUGGGCACUUGCAGCCCAGAAGGCCAAUCCCAUCCUGUGCUGCAUCAAGAGAAGAGUAGCAAGCAGAUCAGGAGAGGGGACUCUGCCACUUUGCUCUGGUCUGAAAAAGCAGCAGGGGACAUGAACUGCCUACGUAGAGCACCGAGGGAAGUUCCCAGUGUGGAAAUUGUCCCUCUCGGCGAGACAGACAGAAAAUGUCCUCGAUGCCUCCGUGCUGGUCACAUCCAGAGUGUGCUGGGAGCUCAGGGACUGUUCAGUCUCCACAACUCAGUGAGGAUUGGACACUGAAGCCUCUCCUUACACUGUCACCAACAAUGAGAGGAAUUCAGUCAUGGUUUUCGCUUCCUCUCCAGGUUGGUGUUUUUCUAACUGGCUGUGCCUGGCUCCUGGGGAGAUGAUAGGCUACUGGGGACAGUUCAUUGCAGAGAGAGCUGUGAAAAGGCUGUCUCAAGGAAUCCUAUUAAUGCCUUUGAAUCCUGGGCAGCUGAGCAGUGCCCCAACCUCAGUUCAGACUUCCAGAGUGCACUUCACACUUGCAGUCCUGUUCCACUGGCUCGUUUCAGACUUCAUCAAAACCUCAAGGUUUAGCUCACACCUGAUAAACUUUUUUUGAAGCUUCAUAAACCUUUUCUCUUCUUGGGCCCAGGCUUAGGUUCAUGGGCAAAAGCAUUAAGUCUCUUUUAUUUGGAGCCCUUGCAAGCUCUCUCUUGCCCCUUCCCUCUUGCUCAUUCUCAACUCCCUGAGCCUUCAGAACGCGGCAUCAGAUGGAAACAAGUGAAGCCACAAGUUGUAGGAGAGGUGAGCCUGCAAGAGCAGGAGAGGGGCUGCUGGUUGUGGAAGCCCCAGAAGCAGCAGCUGCUAAGAAAGGUGGUGAUUAGUUUGACACACUGCUAUUGUGUCAUGACUGACAGCCUGGAGCUGAAAAAGUGCCUAGGGCUGAGUUAGUCACACAAACAGGCAGAAGAUUGAGGAGGAGUCUCUGCCUUCUGCCAGGGGUUUGACCUCGGGUAACAUCAGGUUCCUCGACGAUGUUGAGCACUGCAAAUUUCCCCCGUGGUGGGGUGAUGGCAGGAGAGUAGCCCCAGCUGGCAUGUGCCCUGCUAUUUCUGCCAGAGACGCCCAAGGUGAAGAACUUUAUAAGGGCAACCUCCUGGCCAAACACUUCCAGUCCUUUGCCCAGGAGCAGUAAA